rnacentral:rRNA from 1 species
AGAUAAGGAGCUUGCUCCUUUGACGUUAGCGGCGGACGGGUGAGUAACACGUGGGUAACCUACCUAUAAGACUGGAAUAACUCCGGGAAACCGGGGCUAAUGCUGGAUAAUAUUUAGAACCGCAUGGUUCUAAAGUGAAAGAUGGUUUUGCUAUCACUUAUAGAUGGACCCGCGCCGUAUUAGCUAGUUGGUGGGGUAAUGGCUUACCAAGGCAACGAUACGUAGCCGACCUGAGAGGGUGAUCGGCCACACUGGAACUGAGACACGGUCCAGACUCCUACGGGAGGCAGCAGUAGGGAAUCUUCCGCAAUGGGCGAAAGCCUGACGGAGCAACGCCGCGUGAGUGAUGAAGGUCUUCGGAUCGUAAAACUCUGUUAUUAGGGAAGAACAAAUGUGUAAGUAACUGUGCACGUCUUGACGGUACCUAAUCAGAAAGCCACGGCUAACUACGUGCCAGCAGCCGCGGUAAUACGUAGGUGGCAAGCGUUAUCCGGAAUUAUUGGGCGUAAAGCGCGCGUAGGCGGUUUCUUAAGUCUGAUGUGAAAGCCCACGGCUCAACCGUGGAGGGUCAUUGGAAACUGGGAAACUUGAGUGCAGAAGAGGAAAGUGGAAUUCCAUGUGUAGCGGUGAAAUGCGCAGAGAUAUGGAGGAACACCAGUGGCGAAGGCGACUUUCUGGUCUGUAACUGACGCUGAUGUGCGAAAGCGUGGGGAUCAAACAGGAUUAGAUACCCUGGUAGUCCACGCCGUAAACGAUGAGUGCUAAGUGUUAGGGGUUUCCGCCCCUUAGUGCUGCAGCUAACGCAUUAAGCACUCCGCCUGGGGAGUACGACCGCAAGGUUGAAACUCAAAGGAAUUGACGGGGACCCGCACAAGCGGUGGAGCAUGUGGUUUAAUUCGAAGCAACGCGAAGAACCUUACCAAAUCUUGACAUCCUUUGACAACUCUAGAGAUAGAGUCUUCCCCUUCGGGGGACAAAGUGACAGGUGGUGCAUGGUUGUCGUCAGCUCGUGUCGUGAGAUGUUGGGUUAAGUCCCGCAACGAGCGCAACCCUUAAGCUUAGUUGCCAGCAUUAAGUUGGGCACUCUAAGUUGACUGCCGGUGACAAACCGGAGGAAGGUGGGGAUGACGUCAAAUCAUCAUGCCCCUUAUGAUUUGGGCUACACACGUGCUACAAUGGACAAUACAAAGGGCAGCUAAACCGCGAGGUCAUGCAAAUCCCAUAAAGUUGUUCUCAGUUCGGAUUGUAGUCUGCAACUCGACUACAUGAAGCUGGAAUCGCUAGUAAUCGUAGAUCAGCAUGCUACGGUGAAUACGUUCCCGGGUCUUGUACACACCGCCCGUCACACCACGAGAGUCUGUAACACCCGAAGCCGGUGGAGUAACCAUUUAUGGAGCUAGCC